AAUUCAGAAUGUGGCAAUGGGCGACACGGUUAACGUGACAUUGAACGUGGAAAAAGUCCGUCAGUGUUUUUGUCAUUUCAAGCAUACAGACACGUGAUGAGCGAAGGGGCGGGAAAAGAUCUUGAUGAUACGCCAUUGAACCUCAGUCAUGUGACCUCUCGUCCAAAGGAAAAUAUGCACGUUUUGUUAACUUCACAUUUUAAAAAAGUGUUCUGUUAAUAAAACCCGUUAAAUAUGUU